GUCCUAGUGGUGUAAUGGUUAAACACUGGGCUGCUAACUCAAAGGUUGGUGGUUCAAACCCUCUCAGCGGCU
rnacentral:tRNA from 1 species